CAUUUUCCCUCCCUAAAUUUCAUUAAACCCUAUCGGUCCCAUAUUUUUUUUAAGUGGCCUAAUUGUGUUAGUGUUUUAGCCCCCAAAACACCCAAAAUCCCUUAUUCUAUAGGCGCUUCACAAAUAUCGAAACACCCAAGUAUCAGAUAUUACCAUCUCUUCUCCUCCAUCAAUGAGAUAGCCUCCUUCUCCAACACUAGCUCUUCACUCUCUGAUUUUACCAACUGGGUUUUCCUCUAUUGACCUAAAUUGGAUUUUCUUAGGGCUUAUGUUUCUCUUGCCCAAGACUUCUUUUAUCCCAACAGGAAAAAGAAUAACAUUUAUGAAGAUGCAAAAAAGUGGGUUUUUGACUCAAUUCAGAAUGCUUGGAGAAAGUGUAAAAAUCAGUCAAAGAAAGACCAUUUUGAACUCUAUGAGAAUGACGAGCUUCGAAUGGAGAAUAGGAUUACGUGUUGCUCCUAACAUGCUAGCUCUCAAUGCUGUUCACCUGGAGUGACUUCCUCUGCACAACAAGCUGCUAUGCAACUAAACAAUCAUCUAUCUACUAAGAGUAACAAUCAAGGUCAGUACGUACUCCAAAUGUUGCACCCUUUCUUUUCUUUCUUCCUUCUUCUUCUCCUCCUCCUCCUCAUCCUUCUGUUGCUUUUCUACCACUGCUCUGGAUCUAUUCUAUUUUUUUCAUAGGGAAGUUAGUAAGAUGGCUAAGUCUGGUUAGUCUAGUCAUUUUUUAACUUCGCCUCCGGCCCUUUGUCGUUGUGUAUUUCUGUGGUUACCUUAACAACUCUUUGUGGUUGUAUAAUUCUUUGUGUGUUGUUCUGGAUAUUAUAAUCUUGCCUAUUUACUUGUACCAAGAAAGAAAAUUUACCGAAUAUAUAUGUUUCUGGGUUUCUUGUACUGGCAGCUGCUCUCUAUACUAUUUUGGGUGAUAAUUUGGUCUGCAAAGCUGCUAAUAACUGAAUGCAUAUGUUUCUGCAAAGCUGCUAAAAGCUAAAAAAAUUUCUAACGUUAUUGAGUUAGUCUAAGUAUGGUUCGUGUGCCACCUUUUUAUUAAAAUAUUAUUUUUAAGUUGUUUGUAUUCCCUCAAUUUGGCAUUGUUGUGACCUUUAGGUAUUAUGUUUGGAAAUUAUGGGUUGAAGUUGAUAGAUAAGCUGCUCUUAUGUUCAUUAAAGCUUAAUCCCAACUACAGUAGGUUCAUAUCACAACAGUUUUUUUGUUGUAAAUGAAAAUGUAAGUCCAUAGCAAGUUGUAGUUGUGGAAGAUAAUGAAUGACUAUUGUGUUUGUCCAUCUUAUUGAAAGUUUUUAGCACGAUGAAAUAAUUUAUUACCUUAUAUAGCUAUACCUGUUCUUUACUCCCAGUUAAGUGGAACAAGUUCAAGAAUCCAAAAUAUGUCUGAAUUGGUCAUUCAUGUUUGGCUGAAGUGAUAAUGCUCAUUAAAACGUAUGUGUUUUCCCGUAUUAUCAUAAUUCUUUUGGGAAAAUAGAUAACACAGAGCUUCCAUUUUCGUGUUGUCCAUUUUUAGUAUGAUAUGAGCUAUGUUGCAAUAUUUCUUCGAAGUCAAUAUUGAAAAGACCCGUAAAAUUUCUUGCCGAAAAUAAUGUCGAGUAGGUCCCUGUGUUGUUAUAACUGUAGAAAUUCUUGACCUUUUAAGUGAAAAGUACCCCGGAAUACGAAAGAUAAAAUUUUCCAGGAAUAGGGCAUUAUGCAACGUAUUAUGAGAUCGCAUAAUAUGUAUGCGAACCACAUAAUGGUCGCAUACAUGGGCAGGCCACUGCUCAAUUGGAGGACAACUAUGCGGUCCAGAAUGCGAUUGCAUUGUGGUUAUGCGGACCGCAUAGUUGUCGCAUUAUUGCCCAUUGACUUUUGGUGAGGGAGGUUAUGCGAUGCACUAUGCGAUGGCAUAACGUGUAUGCGGACCGCAUAGUGGUCGCAUACCUGCAUAGUGUGUUUUAAUUUUAUGACCGCAUUCCGUGUCGGGGCUCCAAACCCUUCAUUUUAACCCAUCAUUUUAACUCGACCCCUUCUUCAAUAAAACAUCCCAACCCUUCAUUUUAACCCAUUUUCUGAUCAAAAGUAGAGAGGGGGAAGGGAGGAUUCUUGAGAGAGAAAGUCUCAUCUCUAUCAAUUUAAUUUUCAAAGUCACCCAGGCCUGGAAAUUUUGAGUAAUUAUCUUCAUCUUCGCUCUUGCAGGUAAAAUCUCCAACCCUUUUUCAUAGGUUUUUAGAUUUAAACAAAAAGGGGGUUCUCAUUAAUUGAUUCUUUAAAAUAUAAUUUGAACCAUACAUGCAUGUUCUUUAAUAUCUAAAAUCUAGUAAGACGAAUUGGGUAGGAGUAAAAGAUUUGCAAAAAGGAGGGGAUGAUAAUCUAUGUGAGUUCGGGUUGUAUUUGUGAAUUUCAAUUCUAAGAUAUAUGUAUUAACUUGUGAAUUGGAUUGACGGUACUAGGCAGUUCGGUGAAUUGAGAGUAGGAGUUAAAAAAAGGAAAUUCGACUACAGGUGGUUCUAUAGCAGGUACUCCAGUCCACCGACAGUAGCACCUCCUCCACUUUCCGUCAGCUGUAUUGGUCAGCCCCUUUCCUCUCGGGGCCCUGCGUGGCUCAUGUCGCUUUUCCUCUUGAAGUUUUAUUUUGGUAUUUGUGUAAGGUAUAACCGGAGCCUUGUUACCAGCAAGUAUUGUAAAACUCUUUUGUAUCCUUAGAGGCUCCGUAGACAGGAAACAUGGGUUGUGUACUUAUGUAUUUGGGCAGUAUAACUUGUAGAUCACGUAAGGUAAGCAUGUAUGUUAUUAUAUCUCGUAAGAAUGUAUUUAAUUAUAAAUGGCUAUUUCACUUGAAUAAUGAGUAUUGAAAUCA